UUUACUUUUUUUCGUUAUUGCAGGUUACAAGUAUAAAGAAAUAUUUUUCAAUACAUGGUAUACCCGAUUGCGGUACUUUUCAGCUCAUUAUGGAUAAUGAAUGCCCUCAACAAAAAAAUUCGUAUGAUUGCGGUCUUUUCGUGAUAAAAUUUAUGGAUUGCUUGUCCCAAGGAGAUAGAUUUUAUUUCAAUUCGGGAGAUAUGCAAUUUGAACGAAAAAAGAUAGCUGCACAACUUUUGCUUGGUAAGAUAAGUCCAUAGAAAUAAGGUAUUAGUUUUGAUUUUAAUUUCCUACUAAGUUCAGAAUCAUGAACAAUGCUUACUUCUUACAUUUCUUUUAUUUCUAGUAGACAUUAUGAACUGAUUGGGUUUAUUGUGCCAUUUCCAUAUAUGAAACAUUCCUAUACUUUUUCGAUGUGAAGCAAGACUUCGAAAGUAUGAGUAUGACAUUCGUAUACUUUUGUGGCCUGCUCAAUGUGAUAUUGCAGGUGCACAUGAAUCGGAGAUGGCUAGUGUGGCUAAGGAUGAUACUGAUUACCAGAAUAUGAUUUUCUUCUCUUUUCGAGUGGGGUCUUUGUGUGGAUUCGUCUAGGGAAGAUAUUACAAGCUAAAGAGAUCGUGAUUGUUUAUCUCUCGUGAUUAUGUUCCAUAGCCCUUGUUGUUUCUUUUUACCCUUGUGCUCUAAAACUGGUUUUUGGAAGAAGUUCGUAUGAAGAAGAGGUCGAGGGACCUCAAUGCCUAUUCUGUAUUUGCAGGCCUCAGAUUUUUUUUGGGUUGCUCAGUUUGACAUUGUAUAGUUUUUUGUUGGUUGUUUGUUGUGACUCACGGCCUCAAACUUUUUGUUAGGUAGCUCUUUUAUUGGGAAGUAUAUCUACUUGAUACGAUGUGUCAUUUCUUA